rnacentral:rRNA from 2 species
CAACAACGGAUCUCUUGGUUCUGGCAUCGAUGAAGAACGCAGCGAAAUGCGAUAAGUAGUGUGAAUUGCAGAAUUCAGUGAAUCAUCGAAUCUUUGAACGCACAUUGCGCCCCUUGGUAUUCCAUGGGGCAUGCCUGUUCGAGCGUCAUUU